UGGGCGGCAAGACGACGCUCCUCCUACUGGGUCCUCCCACCAGACCUAAUCAGCCAAUCAGAGACAGGGAAAGAGCGAGAGAGAAACGGGGAGAAAGACAGAAAAACACUUUCUACGUGCAUAUGCACGUAACAACCCUUAGGACUAAUAUUUAUUAGUAUUUCUUAAAAAAAAUGUAAGUUUCAGUAUGUUCUAAAAGGUAAAAUAACAUACUGUUUUGCAUACUUUAUUAAGGAAUGGAUUCACUGAUGGAAUAUAUCUGCUCUAUGUCUAUAUGUAAAAGCUCAUAAUACUAUUUUUAGCUCACCAACAGUCAUUUUGCAGAAUUUUAAAUAAAUUAAAUACAUUUUUUUAAAAAAAGUUAAAGUAAAGAUUUCAUGUAAAUAUCUAGAAAAAUGUUUUUUAUUUAGGCUGUAUUAUAGCAAUUACAUAUGUAGGGAUGUUCACAACAUUUCAGUGCCAACAAAGGUAGGCCUAUUAUAUUCUAAAUAUCUAAUUGUAAUGUGUUAGUGAUUCACAGGUGGUUAUUUUAGAUUUCUUGUAAACCUGUCUUAAAGUGUAAGGAAUACUAAACCUUAGUUGGGCUAGUGGGACGGCUCGAAGCGGGCGGCGGAAAUUUUCCUUUAUUUUAAAAUUCAAAACUUGACGGGUAUGACUGUAUUGAUUAUUCCUGAAAUAUCAUCGUUAUCAUUCAUUUACUACAGCUAAAAGGUGCUGGAAAAACUUGAAAAUGGGUGUUGAAAGUGCUUGAAAAGUGCUUGAAUUUUUUUUAUAAAGUGGCUGGUCAGUGUACUGUAUUUUCUAAACAUCAUUACAUUUUGUGUCCACGUUCUCCGCAGUGCUGUGGACGUGUUGGGGAAUAUCGGUGAACUUGCCCUACAAGAGCCCCAUCUACGUGAGCUCCGGCAGAAAGCUGGCUCUCCAGGCCCAGGUUACGAAAAGUCCAGCGGAAAUCUUACGCUUGGUUACGUGGGAUGUCAGGAACGGCGAGGGAGAGUUCAGGCUCGAUACGAAUAAAUCCCCGGACCCUGAUAAUGUGCAUCUCCAGAUCGCCAAAGUGGAACGAUACGGAUCCUACAUCGUUACAAUUACAGACAGCCACGGGGACCAGACGUACGCUUCUGUGGAGGUGCGAAAGAGCACGAACCCUCCAAAGGCCUCCGUUUCCAUGCAGUGCAGCAUAAUACCUGAGGGGCCUAUGUGGGACAGCCCAGUGUUUUCGUGGUGGGUGAAUGGCAACAAAGUGACGAACCAAACGGCUCAUCUUUCAUCAGACGGCAGCAGGAUCCACCCGUUAAAUACCCUGGCCAAUAAUUACACCUGCGUCGUCGACAGCAGCCAGGGAAGCAGCACAGUGCAGAUAAACACAGCAGUCACAGAACCCUGCUCAAGCCGCAGUGGAUUGAUCGCAGUUGCAGUGAUUGAGGGAAUAUUGUUGGCGAUAGUGUUGAUAGUUCUUUUUAGGAAGUUAUAUCAGAAGAGACAAGACCUUAAGCAUAGCCAAAGUGAAGAUCAACCUCUGUAGCUCCUUGUUUAGGCAAUACUUUAUAUUUUUUGUAAAUUGUUAUUUAUUCACAAUUUCCUGCACUAAUAUUUUUGGACUGUUUGUUAAAGUGUAAAUAUUGUAGACACAUUUUAUGUAUACAGCUCUGAGAAAAAAAUAAGAGACCACUUAAUGAUUGUUUUUUCCUUGAUUUUACCAAAUUGAAAACCUCUGGAAAGUUAUCCAAAAGCAGUGUGUAAGACUGGUGGAGGAGAACAUGAUGCCAAGAUGCAUAAAAACUUUGAUUAAAAACCAGGGUUAUUCCAUCAAAUAUUGAUUUCUGAACUCUUAAAACUUUAUGAAUAUGAACUUGUUUUCUUUGCAUUAUUUGAGGUCU
rnacentral:lncRNA from 1 species